GAUGAAGAACGUAGCGAAAUGCGAUAAGUAAUGCGAAUUGCAGAAUCCGUGAGUCAUCGAAUCUUUGAACGCACAUUGCGCCCGCCAGUAUUCUGGCGGGCAUGCCUGUUCGAGCGUCAUUUCAACCAUCAAGCCCCCGGCUUGUGUUGGGGACCUGCGGCUGCCGCAGGCCCUGAAAAGCAGUGGCGGGCUCGCUGUCACACCGAGCGUAGUAGCAUACAUCUCGCUCUGGGCGUGCUGCGGGUUCCGGCCGUUAAACCACCUUCAUAACCCAAGGUUGACCUCGGAUCAGGUAGGAAGACCCGCUGAACUUAAGCAUAUCAAUAAGCGGAGGA
rnacentral:misc_RNA from 1 species